rnacentral:rRNA from 1 species
GAUGAACGCUGGCGGCGUGCCUAAUACAUGCAAGUCGAGUGAACAGUUGAGGAGCUUGCUCCUUUGUCGUUAGCGGCGGACGGGCGAGUAACACGUGGAUAACCUACCUAUAAGACUGGGAUAACUCCGGGCAACCGGCGCUAAUACCGGAUAAUAUAUUCAACCGCAUGGUUCAAUAGUGAAAGACGCUUUUGCUGUCACUUAUAGAUGGACCCGCGCCGCAUUAUCUAGUUGGUAAGGUAACGGCUUACCAAGGCAACGGUUCGUAGCCGACCGGAUAGGGUAAUCGACCACACUGGAACGAGGACACGCUCCAGACUCCUGCGGGAGGCAACAGUAGGGAAUCUUCCGCAGUGGGCGAAAACCUGACAGAGCAACGCCGCGUGAGUGAUGAAGGGCUUCGGAUCGUAAAACACUGUUAUUAGUGAAGAACAAGUGUGUAAGUAACUAUGCACGUCUUGACGGUACCUAGUCAGAAGGCCACGGCUAACUACUUG